UACGGGGGGAGCAAGCGUUGUUCGGAUUUACUGGGCGUAAAGGGCGCGUAGGCGGCCACCGCAAGUCGGUUGUGAAAUCUCUGGGCUUAACCCAGAAAGGUCAACCGAUACUGCGGGGCUAGAGUGCAGAAGGGGCAACUGGAAUUCCUGGUGUAGCGGUGAAAUGCGCAGAUAUCAGGAGGAACACCGGUGGCGAAGGCGGGUCUCUGGGCCGAUACUGACGCUGAGGAGCGAAAGCGUGGGGAGCGAACAGG
rnacentral:rRNA from 1 species